GGGAGAGGAAGAGGAGGAAGGGUUGUGGGGACCGGGGGUGCGAGAUGGUGGAUUCACCUGCAACUACAAGAAAACAAAGAGCGAGAGAUUUACAGAAACCUCUAGAGCCGUGGAGGAGGAGGAGAUUUGGAGGAUCUCUACGACACUGACGGAUUAGUUAAGGAACGAAAGAUCACAUCGUGUCCGGUAACCAGAUUCAGAUGUGGACGCCGUGCGUGGGUGCGAGGCCAAGCCGAGGUGAAAGAGAUGAAGAGCGUGACCAAGAACUUCCUGAUUUUUCAUCAUUUAUUCCAUUCUUACCUCCUCUGAGUGCAGCUAAUCUAAAGGUCUACUAUGCCACACGUUUCACCAUCAUAGUUGGGAUAAUGGUGUUCGGUGGUUUUCUUGCACCAAUCUUAAACUUGGUCUAGGGGGCACAUCUUAUGAAGACUCCAUCCGAAGCGUUCAUCUGUCGACGUAUUUGAGGUACUGCCACUUUUUCAUUGUCCAUUAAUGUAUCAAGGUUCAUCUAGCAACGGUUGGGACUGCUAGGAUCUGGGGUGCGCAAUGGUUUCAAACCAUCAUUUUUUUCUUGUUUUCUGCAUCACAUAUAGCUUGUUUUUCUUCUUUUAUCUAAAUUCUAACAGAGAUUUUCAAAUUCAAAUGGAAAAUGGCAAGAAGUUUAUAUGUUUAGAAGAAAAACAUGAACAUACACUAGCAACAUGUUCUACUGAGUAUUUGUUAAUUUCUUUUUAUUUCUUUCAUGCACAUAAGAUCUUGUUUACUCCUUUUUGUUUAAGAUAUAGACUAUUUAUUGCCAUUUAAAGGCUACAAGUGCUUGAAUUUUUGUGGCCAUGUCUGCUCGUGCUAUUUCUGGACAUUGCAAAUUGCAAAAGUGCACUCAUGUUAUACACCCAGUAAAGAGCAAGACAUUUGAAAGCUCAUGGGCCACCUGUGUUGCUAUUGAUGCAAGCGAAAGUUGGCUGGUAUAACUUUCAGUUCAAACUCUUUACUAAAAUGUUUUAAACUUAUGUAUGUCAAUAUCUUGUUACUUAUAACCAGUUUGCUUUUCUUAAAGGUUGAGUUUUGUUACGUGUUGGCUGACAGAUGUAGUGAUGUUCUCGCAUGUUAACCACGACUACAUCGACUGCGGUGCCUAGGGCCUUGAGGCCUUCCUCCUGCUCCUUGACUGGAAGGUGCUACUCCCAAAUUGUGUGUUCCGUCUCCGGGGAAACCACGAAUCCUUUAAUAUGGUUUCGAGAAGGAGGUAAUGACUAAAUACAAAGAUAAGGGCCCUCAACUUUAUCGAAAGUUUUAAAGAUGUUUUGAGGAUCUUGCUCUAGCGGCAAUAAUAGUAGGAUGUGUGUACACUGCACGUGGAGGUGUCUUCCGUAGUUCCGUGGAACAAUUGUAGUGCCAUCAAAUAAUUCAAAAAGGAGAAAAUACAAGGCGAAUUUUACUGUUGAUCAUGACUUCCAUGAAACUUGGAUCAUUGGAUGAGUUAUUGAAAGCAAGGAGAACCGUUGUUGCCCCUCCUUGGGAAGGCUCAAAUUUGAUCCCUAGGGAUGUGUUGUGGUUUGACCCUUCCCUGCAGAUGGGUCUUUCUCUGAAUAAAGAACAAGGCAUUGGUUUGCUUUCGGGUCCUGAUAUCACUCAACAAUUUCUGAGAACAAAUCAUUUGAAGUGUCGACACUGUUUCCAACAUGGAAGCCACCACGGAGGCCGAGCUGCGAGAGAACGAUUUCUGGAGCACGCACCACACCAAGCUCAUCUGCACCAUGGGUCGUUGGCCGGCGCCUCGCCACCAUGGAGGUGCCCAGGUGGUGGUACCUCUGCGACAUCCUGUCCCUCCCUCCUCCCCCUCACUGGCGCAGCAGUAGCAACUGUCUCUGCCUCCGUCCCCUGCCGGACCACUGAAAUCCGCCCGGGUUUGGGCUAUUCUGCUGUGAUGGUAUAAUACUAGCAUGUGUUGAUGGACUUGACUGUGCUAUAAAGAGGUAAAAGAGUGUACAUCUGACAAACCACCUUGGCUUAUUUAUUGAUUCUGCAGUCAAUUUGUCAGCUUAUUGAGACAUCCAACUUGCAUGAGUUGAUCAACAAGCCCAUCCCUGGUUCCUGAUGGAGGCAUCAUCUUCCUUGUGUUUCCAAGUUUCUGGUUUUAGUUUGUCCAAGAUAUGGCUAUGCCUUUUUCUGGUACUCGUUCUUCAGAACUGCAGCCCAGCACUUUCAGAUUCACCAUAUUUGGUCGGUAUGGGGAGCUAUGACAUAACAGGGCCAGCAGCAGACGUUAACAUGAUGGGAUAUGCAAAUGCUGAGCAGAUUGCAUCAGGAAUUCACUUAAGGCUAAAGGCUCGUGCCUUUAUCGUUGCUGAGCCUAACAGCAAGCAUGUCGUGUUUGUAAAUCUUGAUGCUUGCAUGGCAUCACAUCUUGUUACUAUAAAGGUGCUUGAAAGGCUUAAAGCAAGGUAUGGAGAUCUUUAUAAUGAGAGUAAUGUGGCUAUCAGUGGAAUCCAUACGCAUGCUGGUCCUGGUGGUUAUCUGCAGUAGUCUUCUUCGGCUCCUGGUGUACUUCUAAUGUUUGUUUAUUUGGUCAAUAGUCAUUCUGGCUCGUUUUUUUGUUUUUUUCUUGAAUGAGCAUCG